rnacentral:lncRNA from 1 species
ACAGGAUCAUCCUAGAGCUGAAUACGAAGCCAGAGUCUUGGAGAAGUCUCUGAAGAAAGAGUCCAGAAACAAAGAGAAGCGCCGGCAUAUUCCAGAGGAGUCAACCAACAAAUGGAAGCAGAGGGUUAAGACAGCCAUGGCGGGGGUGAAAUUGACUGACAAAGUGAAGCUGACAUGGAGAGAUCGGUUCCCAGCCUACCUCACUAACUUGGUCUCCAUCAUCUU